rnacentral:rRNA from 1 species
AAAAACAUCGCCUUCUGGAAAAUUAUAGAAGGUCCAGCCUGCCCAGUGACGUAGUUAAACGGCCGCGGUACUCUAACCGUGCGAAGGUAGCGCAAUCACUUGUUCUUUAAAUGAGGACUAGUAUGAACGGCAUCACGAGGAUUAUACUGUCUCCCCCCCCUAAUCAGUGAAACUGAUCCCCCCGUGAAGAAGCGGGGAUAGAAAUAUAAGACGAGAAGACCCUAUGGAGCUUUAAACUUAGCACUACCUGCCUUUACGCAUCCCCUAACAAUUAGACAGUGAUCGUGCAUGUUUUAAGUUGGGGUGACUGCGGAGCAAAAACGAACCUCCGCGAUGACACACCUUAAAUCUGAGAACUACACUUCAAAGAAUCAAUAAGCUGACAUUUAUUGACCCAAACAAUUUGAUCAACGAACCAAGUUACCCUAGGGAUAACAGCGCAAUCCAUUUCAAGAGCUCAUAUCGACAAAUGGGUUUACGACCUCGAUGUUGGAUCAGGGUAUCCCAGUGGUGCAGCCGCUACUAAAGGUUCGUUUGUUCAACGAUUAAAACCCUACGUGAUCUGAGUUCAGAC